rnacentral:rRNA from 1 species
AUUGAACGCUGGCGGCAGGCCUAACACAUGCAAGUCGAGCGGAUGAAGGGAGCUUGCUCCUGGAUUCAGCGGCGGCCGGGUGAGUAAUGCCUAGGAAUCUGCCUGUUAGUUGGGGCUAACGUCCGGAAACGGGCGCUAAUACCGCAUACGUCCUGAGGGAGAAAGUGGGGGAUCUUCGGACCUCACGCUAUCAGAUGAGCCUAGGUCGGAUUAGCUAGUUGGUGGGGUAAAGGCCUACCAAGGCGACGAUCCGUAACUGGUCUGAGAGGAUGAUCAGUCACACUGGAACUGAGACACGGUCCAGACUCCUACGGGAGGCAGCAGUGGGGAAUAUUGGACAAUGGGCGAAAGCCUGAUCCAGCCAUGCCGCGUGUGUGAAGAAGGUCUUCGGAUUGUAAAGCACUUUAAGUUGGGAGGAAGGGCAGUAAGUUAAUACCUUGCUGUUUUGACGUUACCAACAGAAUAAGCACCGGCUAACUUCGUG